UCCGAGUUGACCCCGGCAGUCUCCUAUGAGUCCCCGACAUUACUCGCUGGCAACAUAGGACGAGGGUUGCGCUCGUUGCGGGACUUAACCCAACAUCUCACGACACGAGCUGACGACAACCAUGCACCACCUGUGCAAGACCCUUGCGGACCUCACAUCUCUGUGAGAUUUCCUUGCAUGUCAAGCCCAGGUAAGGUUCUUCGCGUUGCGUCGAAUUAAACCACAUGCUCCGCUGCUUGUGCGGGCCCCCGUCAAUUCCUUUGAGUUUUAGCCUUGCGGCCGUACUCCCCAGGCGGGGCACUUAAUGCGUUAGCUUCGGCACGGGAGGAGUCGACACCUCCCACACCUAGUGCCCAUCGUUUACGGCGUGGACUAC
rnacentral:misc_RNA from 1 species